rnacentral:lncRNA from 1 species
AGGGAUGUAAACAAGGGCCCUGUGCUUCAUCACCUACGCCUACUACCCCUAGUGGGAGUGGUUCUGUUGCUGAUAUUGUUACGCCUGCUUUCUUCAAUGGUAUAAUCAACCAAGCUGGUGCAGGCUGUGCUGGGAAGAAUUUCUAUACAAGAAAUGCAUUUCUCAGUGCUGUCAAUUCAUAUCCUCAAUUUGGUAAACUUGGUUCAGCUGAAGCUUCUAAGCGUGAGAUCGCAGCUUUCUUCGCUCAUGUUACUCAUGAGACUGGACGUAAGUUCCUCUUCCAUCCCUCAUAACAUUUCUCGCAGCAUUUGAAUAGCAAGCAUGAUAGCCAACAGUAUUCUGUCUGUCUGUCUACCCUGUCUUUUCCACGAAUACAAUUGUCCGCAUAUGGAUUUUGUCAACAAUGUGAACUGUCUAAUAAGCGUGUUUCAGCUCCUCGUGUGUAAGCUGACAAGAGAAAAUGUCUAUUUUUGCAGACUUCUGCUAUACAGAAGAGAUAAAUGGUGCUUCCCGUGACUACUGUGAUGAAAAAAACAGGGGAAUACCCAUGUGUUGCAGGCAAGAAAUACCAUGGCCGCGGACCAAUCCAACUAUCAUGGAACUACAACUAUGGGCCAGCCGGAAGGAGCAACAACUUUGAUGGAUUGAACAAUCCUGACAUUGUAGCAAGGGAUGCUGUUGUGUCAUUUAAGACAGCCUUAUGGUUUUGGAUGAAAAGUGUUCGUCCUGUUGUAAACCAAGGUUUUGGAGCAACUAUUCGAGCCAUUAAUGGUAAUGAAUGCAAUGGUGGAAACUCAGGUGCCGUUCAGGCUCGUGUUAGAUAUUAUAGAGAUUAUUGCAGUCAACUCGGCGUUGCUACUGAGAAUAACCUCGCUUGCUAGGUUUUAAAAUAACCGGAGUUGUUAUGCCAAGUUAUGGCUAAUCAUAUGAAAAUAAGAUGUACUGCUAUGAAACAAGUUGAAGAGAAAUAAAGUUUAUAAUUAUCGUUAUGUCUCUUAUAGUUUUUCAGUAAUUUUGAUGUCCCUUUUUAUAUUUAUUUUUAUUACUUAGAAAAACCUCCACUUUACGUGGCCAUAAAUUUGUUUUGAAAUUCAAUUUACGCCUUGUAUUUUAUUUUCGAUCAAUUUAAUCCAAUUUGACCAAAAGAUUGGAUCCAUCGAACCCAAUAUAUUAGCAAUUUGAAAUUGAAAUCACUAUAUGUGUACAUAUUCAUUUAUUCUUCCAUUUCCGUAAUAAAUUUUCAAAUUUAUGUUAAUAUCAGUAGUAGGAUCUACUCUAAUUAAUAACUUCUUGAGUAAAACAAAAACCAAAGGAAAAAAAAUUAUUUUUAAAUAACUCUUUUUUCCCAGGAAUUAUUUGUCCUCAUUUUAAUAAAUCUUGAUUUUUACAUAUUGCUUAUGCUAGAGACUAGAUAGAGACGAGAAGGGUAUGCGUUUUUUUCCGUCCCAGUUAUACAAGCAUAUUGUUACAAUGAUCUCAAUAAUUUGAACUCUAUAGAAAUUGUUGUUUUAUUUUAAAAAAAUUUAAAUAAAUAAAAAAAUUUCUUCAAAAAAUUUGAAAAUCACUUAGUUUGGAAAUUAAAAAUUUCAUGAAUAUCACCUUUUUUUUGUUUUAUGUUUUUGAAAAUGAAAGGUUGUGUUGCGUUGCCUGUUAUGUUUAAAUACAUGAUAAGCUUAUUUUUUAUUUUUUAAAUUUGGUUGAUUGAUACCGAAAUUAACAAAAGUGUUGGUCAUUGUCCAUCUAUAAUUGCCUUGAAUUGUAAAUAGUAUGUUUGAGAUUGUAGUGAAAAGUUCUUUUUCUUUAAAAUUAUAUCAAGAUAAUAUAUAUAUUUUUUAUAUCAAUACAAAAUAAAAAAAUAAAAAAAUAUUAAUUUAGUGUUUCACGUAAGGACACUAAAAAUCAUGUUGAGCCGACGUUGAACAUCAUCAAUAUUAAUGGAGAGACUUUUCAAAGAAGAUGUCAAGUCCAUUUCUUACAUGAUAGCAAUUGUGGAUUGGGGUCCAUGUCCAUGGACAACAUCGCAUUGAUCUUGAUGUUAAUGAAACAAGUUUGAAAUACAGUGGCAAAAAAUCGAUUUGCCAGACAAAAAAAUGAAAAAUGAAAAAUUAGGCAACUUCCAGUUAUUUCCUUUUGCUUCCCAAUUAUCAUAUUGUUUGGCGGUGCUAGGCCAUGUGAUUGGCUCACUUGACCGACAGCACUAUACGUUGCUACCCAUUUCUUAUCCAGCUAGCUAGAUGCGGAAGAAACGUUGGGGUCUAUUUUAAUAUAUUUUUUUAAAAAAAAUACUUUAAAAAAUAAUCAUAUUGCAUUUCUAAUGAGCUAAUCACCAAGAGAAAAAAAAAGUGUUGCGUGUUAAAAAACCAAUUCAGCCUAAUAACUUAAAUUAUUAUGUUAGAUUUUAAGAUAUGAUUUAUAUUAUUUUAUAAUAUAUUAUUUCAAGUGAAAGUCCUUUGGCUUGUACAGAUUCAUAUUACUUUGUGCUUAAUUUUUUUCAAAUAAAUGAGGAUGAUAAGAUUUGAACUUGUGACCGCUUAAUCAUCAAGAGUUUAAUACCAUGUUAAAAAACUAUUUUAAUCCAAUAGCAUAAACUACUAAAUAAGGUUUUAAAAUAUAAUUUAUAUUUUAUUUUUUAAUAUUAAACUAUUAAAUUAUGAUAUUCUUUAAAACUGUGAGGUAGAAAUUGAGUUGAGUUGAGAAGAGUGUUUCUCCUCCUCUUGUAAUAUGAACGGCAUCUCUAAUUAAUAAAACAGAUAUUGUAUGCCAAUUAGUCAAUAACAUGCGUCGAUUCUGGGCAUCCAUUUUUAUCCUAACAGUUAGCUACAAAAACUAGAAAAAAGAAAAAAAAAAGAGCACUAGAAGACGGCUUCAAUUUUAUUUUUUCCUAACCUUUCAUUUAUGGUGAAAGGUUUUCUCUAUCUUAAAAAUAUAUAGGAAGGGGACGUAGAUUUUGGGUAAGUAGCUAGUCAACGACGGCUAUGCCCAUUCUAUGCCAUUGGGUGCCAGUAACUUCAAAGAGGUACUUCAAACUAUUACCCCUUAGUUUAUGUAUUUUAAAAGUAUAUUUUUUAAAAUUUUAUUUUUUAUUAACUUUAAAUUAAUAUAUUUUUAAUGUUUUAAAAUCAUUUUAAUGUGCUAAUAUCAAAAGUAUUUUUUUUAAAAUAAAAACAAAAUUAUUAAAAUGCAUUUAGACAUAAAAAGUUAUUUAAAGAGCAACCACAACUACACUGCACAAAAUAAAAUAAAUAAUAUAAAAUAAAUAAUAAGAUAUUAUGUUUUCUUUGGUUAGGAGAUAGAGUUGGACAGCCUUUUUCCUCCAAAGUCUGAACUAGCAUGUGGUAAACUAUCAAUUGAAUCUGUGUCUUUAUGUGGACAAGAUUUCUAUUUUCUUGCCUAACUUCUUUCGACUUUUGCUUGAAAUGGUAGUGGUUGCCUGAAAAGUAAUACCCAUAAGCCAGCAAUGGAACAAACAAUUGGUAGGUAUGAUUACCAUCUAUCGUGUGCUGCCUGUAACAGAACAAUACAAAAUUAAAACUUCAUGUUUAAAAAAAAAAAAAACUAACUUUAUGAAUAUCCAAAAGCCUUGAAAUGAUUUAGACAAAAAAUCCACCGUGAGUGAUUGGAUGUUCAAAUAUCUCAUUCGCUGCGACGAGGUCGGAUGUUAGAAAUAUGGGUGAACUCUCCUCCAGUUUUGAAUAGCUUUAGCUUCCUCGGUUUUUCCUAUAUUUGAGAUACGACUCGAAAACAAAAGGGUUGAUAUUAUUUUACAUAUAUACGACAUGUAUUGCAUAUAUAUAUAUAUAUAUAUAUAUAUAUAGAUCCAUGAUAUACAGCGGGUUAAUAAAUUAAUUUUUUCAAAUAUCAAAAAAAUAUAAAAAGUAUAGAAAUUUUUUUAAAUAUUCUUAAAGUAUCCUAAAUAAUUGUUUUGUAAAACAUUAUUUAAACUACCCUUAAAAUAUCAUAAACAAAAAUGCUAAUUAAAUUUUUUAUAUAUUUUAAAAAAAAAAAUUAAAAUUACCCUUGAAGUGUCAUAAAUAAUGUUUUUUUAAUUUUUUUAAAAAAUAUAAAAUACCCUUCAAGUAUCUUAAAUAGAUAUACUAAUUAGUUUUUUUUAUAGAUAUUGUUUAUUAAAAAAAAUAUUUGAACUACCCUUGAAGUAUCCUAUAUCAUUUAUUGUAUAAAUGUUUUCUAUUGUUUAUAAAAAAUACAUUUAAAUUAUCAUUGAAGUAUCAUAAAUAAUUUUUUUAAUAUAUAUUUUUAUUUUUUAUAUAAAAAAAUUAAAUUACCCUUAAAGUAUCCUAAACAAAACACUAAUUAAUUUUUUUUAUAUAAAUAUUUUAUUUUUAAAAAAUAAAUAGGUUUGGCAGCCAUGCCAGACCCAAUAAUCUUGGGUCUCGCAGUAAUACCAAGCCCAGGAUCCUUGGGUCUGGUGGCAAUCCGAGACCCAAGAACGCUGGUUCUGGAGGCUAAACCAUACACAAUAGCUUUAUGUUUGGUGGCCAUGUCAAACCCACUAUGCUUGGGUCAGGUGGUUAUGCCUUGACUCAACACGUUGUAGCAACUUUUAGAAUAAAAAAUGAAAAAGAUAAAAAUGCCAAAAAAAAUUAUUUUUUUCUAGUUUUUAUAUAUAAAAAAUGAAACUAUCCUUAAAGUAUUCUAAACUGAAAUUCUAAUUAAUGUAUUUUAAAAUUUUAUUACUAUUUUUAUUAAAAACAUAAACUACCCUUGAAUUAUUAUAAAGAAAAACGCAAAUUAAUUUUAUUUAUAGUGUUUUUUUUUUGUUUUUAUAUAAAAAAAUAUUAAAACUACCCUUGAAGUAUCUUAAAUAUUUUUUUAAAAAUAUUUUCUAUUUGUUAUAAAACCAUUUAAACUACCCUUGAUGUAUCUAAAUAAAAAUACUAAUUAGUUUUUUUAUAAAUUUUAUUUAUUUUUUUGAAAAAAAAACAUUUGAACUACCAUUGAAGUAUCCUCAAUAAUUUUUUUUUAAUUUCUAUUAUUUUUUAUAAAAACAAACAUUUAAACUACUAUUGAAGUAUCAUAAACAGAAAUGCAAAUUAAUUUUUUUUAUUUUUUAUUUAUAAAAAAUAUUAAAACUACCCUUAAUGUAUCCUAAAUAAAUUUUUAAAAAACGUUUAGUGCACGUUUGUAAUAAAUUGAAUGAUCAUCCAAUGAAUGUAAGUUUUUUAAUAAUGAGUUGUUAAGUUAUAUAUUCAGAUUAUUUGAUUACUCUACAAAUUUUAAUUUUCUUUUUGCAUAUUAAAAGUUCAUAAAGAUUUUAAUACAUCAUUACAAGUUUGUAACUAUAGGUUUGGAGUUGUAAGAAAAGUGUAAUGUUUAUAUCAAUAACAUUAAAUUUAACUUUUAACUUUGAAAUUCAAAAUCCUUUAAAUUGAAUGGAGGUAGGCAUAAAAGAACCCGAAUCACUGGGUCUUCCAAAUCAAAGAUCCAGUUUAUAUAGGUUAUAUUGUCAUUAAAGUGUCCAAAGCACAAACUGUGCUCCACUAGUUUAGUUUUCAAAGCUGCAAAGCUUCAAUCUCAACAUAUAUUUGCACACAAAAUAGUUGCAGGGAUCAGUAAAUCUUGAGAAAAAACAACUAAUUAAUGGGAUAAAAGAAAGAUCCAAUAGUUUUUCGAUACAAACAAUAUAAUUUCAUACUGAUAGGUCUUGUGAGCAAGCUGCAUCUUUCCUUUCCAAGAUGAAAUUCAUGUGAAAUAUUUUUUUCGACAGUCCAACUCUUUCAUUUUUCGGUUUCUGUUCUUUCAAUCUUAACUGAAAAAUUAGACUUAUACCAAUCAACUUCUUCAACUAGGAUGUAAUAUUAGCACUGAAACUAUAUAUAUAUAUAAUUGCAGCUCGAUCACUAUCCUAGUCUUUCUAUUAAAAAUUAUGAGUACUGCAAAUUACAAAACCACUUGUAUAAACUGGCUUUGACCCCUACCAGAACCUUGCUAGGAUAAUAAAAAAGAAUAAACCCAUCACUUUUUAUUUAUUGUCAUGAAUAUGAUAAAACUAAACUAGCUGUUUCUUACUGUUGUAACCCAUUUUCGGGUCCCCACAAAAAUAAAAUAAAAUAAAUAGCCAAAGAAGGUUAGAAAAAUAACAGGAGGUAGAAGCGCUCAGAAAAUGGUCGGAAAAUUGGUCAAGGAGGUAAAAAAAUACAAAGAUUGGAUUUUUGACAGUAUAUUCUUGAAGGAUGAGAGCCCUAUUGAGAAGGAAAAUUUGAAUUUUGAGGAGAAAAGCCCAAGUUUGGAUGUUUAUGGACUUAAUUGGUUUUUUAAAUGAUUUUAUAGGGGAUUUGAUUGCAAGAAAAAUUGAUUUUUAAGUCAAUUUGGGCUUUAAUUGAAAGAAAUUUAAGUUCUGGGGCCAAAAUAUAUUUUUUAGGAAUUUUUUAGGUCAAAUCAGGGGCUUAAUUGCAUAAAUAUUGAAGUUUAAUGGCCAAUUAGAGACUUAAUUAAGAAAAUUCGAAACCAGGGACCAAAUUGGAAGAGGCGCGUAAAUGGAAGGGCUGUAAUUAUUCUGUUCAGGGGCCUAAUUGAAGAAAUUGAAAGUUUAUUAAUCAAUUGAGGGCUCAAUUGCAUAAAUCAGAGGCCAAGGACUAAAGUGAAAAACACGGCCAACAAGAGGGGCGGGGACCGAAUUUGACAGGGAUACAAUUGAAAUGAACAAGAAAUGAUGGAGGGUUGAUUUGAAAUUUGGCUCAUUUAAAUGAAACGGUGCGUUUUUUUCAAAACGACGCCGUUUCAUAUAUAUAUAUAUAUAUAAAAGGAAGACCAGAACGGUGUCGUUUUGAACAAUACUGUUCAUCUUCCUCCUUCCCCCCGAAUCAGCAGUAGCAGGAGACGAAAACCAUUGUUUUCAAACCUUCCCGGCUCUCUCUCCUCGCCCCCACCGAAGCCCCCCACACCUUUAGACCACCGAACGAGUCACUGGCCGACCAGUCGUUGUGUGAUUUGCUCCCCGCACUAGCAAAAGGCGCACUGAUUCUUCCCCUAUAAAUAGAGAGUUAAACCGAAGAGAGAAAGGACCCGAGGAGAGAGGCAUAAGAGAAAUAACGCACGAAGGAGAGGGGAGAGCAGGAACAAAACGAAAACAAAGAAACCGAAACCGAAAACAGAAAACAAACCGAGGAGGAGAAAGCCACUAAGAACGAAAAAACAGGGGAAAGGGGAAGAUGAAGAAAUUUCUCGCCGCCGUUAGGAAUAACAGCAACACCGCCCGGAGCCCCCGUUCGCGAGCCACGCCACCGCAGCACCACCAGUGACCGCCUCCUCCACGCCAAGUACAUUUUCUUCUUCCCCCUUGCUUUCGUUUUCAUUGCAAGCGUUACCUCCUGCAUGCAGGAGGCGGGGGGAAGAAAAAUAAUUCUUCCCCCUGCUGGGCCGUAGGGUGCUGGGCCAGCCCGAUGCUGGCCCAACCUUGCAAGUCUGGGUCGGUCCUGGCCCAGACUGUAGAAGUUUUUUGGGCCGAGAUCGGCCCAAUGUUCAUUUUGGGCCGAGGUCGGGCCGCCUUUUUUGGGCUGCGCCUGGCCCAUUUAUUUGGGCCGGCCCAGCCCCAUAAUAUAAUAUAUUAUAAAUUAUAAUAUAUAUGUGUGUAUAUAUAUAUUAUAUUAAAAAAAUAUAAUAAUAAAAAAAAUCUUUUUUGAAAAAUAUUAUUGAUUUUCCUACAUAUUUUUGUCAAAAUGGCUUAAUGUUGGUUUGUAUUUUUAUACCGUAAAGAUACAAAACCAGUGUGUUAAAAAUACCCGGUUUUCGUCAAAACAUCAAAGAUUUUCAGAAUAAAAAAAAUGUUUUUGCUUUCAAACAAAUUAUAAAAAGUCCCUAAAAAUGUUGUUGAUUUUUUCUGCAUAUUUUUAUUAAAGUGGAUUAAUAUUGGGUUGUAUUUUUAUACCGUAAGGAUACAAACUCAGUAUUAAAAUACCCGAUUUUUGUUAAAGCAUAAAAAAAAAUAUAUUUUUUUUAAAAAUUGUUUUUGUUUUAAAAUACGGCCUAGUCUCUCCAAUAUAUAUAUAUAUAUAUAUAUAUAUAUAUAUAUAUUGGAGAGACUAGGCCGUAUUUUAAAACAAAAACAAUUUUUGGCUUUAAUAAUAAGUUUAUAUAUAUAUUAUAACAUCAUAUUUUCACACAACAAAGGAAAUUUCAAAACAAUAUAUGUAUUAGCAUGCAUUUUGGCUUUAAUAAUAAGUUUAUUCAAGCCAUGAGAACUAGGCCAAUAUUUCAAAAAUUCCAAAAAAAUUAUUGUGUUUUCUUUUAGUAUUUGGGGUUACGAUCUUAUACGUAAGACGUAAUCCGAAUAUUAAAUUCUUUUGUUAACAUCAUAAUUACCCAUUAAGAUAAGGAUCUCCUUACCGAGGAGGACUUUUCUUGAACCAUACCAACAACUAGAAAAACCCGAAAAUACCUUAGAUUUUAUCAGACAAUAAAACAAUGCAGCUUACCUUAGGUAGGGUGUAUUUGGGGUGCUAAUACCUUCCCUUUACGCAACCAGUCCCCGUACCUAAUCUCUGAGACCAGUUAGGGUUCCUAGUGAUCAAAAUACUAGGUGGCGACUCCCAUUCCAUUUUUUCCACCAACAAAAGACAAUAUUUUCUUGUCUCCCCAAUAUAUGCCACAUAGAAAUAGAUUUACACAUUUUUAUUUCUAUUAAAAUGGAAACUUUUAUUUUCGCCGCGACGCCGCACACGUGCGACACUUACGAUGCUAUAUAAAAAGAUUUAAAAUCACCAAGAUUUUGUACUUGGUUUGUAGUAAAAUAGAAUUUUGAUUUGUUUCUUCCUGCAAUCCUCGCAUGAAAAAUAGCAUUAAUGAAAGAAUCUAUGGAAGUAAAAAGGUCACUUUGGCUAUCUUUCAUAUCCAUGUGAUCACUCUAAAAUAAUAGAAGUGUUGGAAAAGCCAUUUAAUGAGUAGCUAAAAGCCCAAAGGAUAUUAUCUUUGUCACACGGGGGGCACGAUGUCAGGGGUGAUGACAAGCUUUUCAUGCCUCCUGAGGAGGUGUCGUUGUUGGGAAAAGAAAUAGGUUUGGGUUUAGUCAUAAGAUUAUAAUUAAAAUUUAGGAGUCGCAAUCUAGUAUUAUAAUAAAUAGAAACCUAUGAUUUGCAAGAGUCCGGGUAAGAGACUAGUUAUGCCAGGGUAUGACACAUCACCCCUAGUGCACUCUACCUAAGAUACAUUGCAUUGUUACUUGAUUGUUUUUCUAUGUCAAGUUAUAUUCGUUGGUCUUUUUUUUUAAGGUUCAAGGUAGAUCUUUCUUCGUAAAUCUCUACCUCAUCGAGUUUAAUUAUAACUAUUCUAAAGAUCAAAUUUUAGCAUUGCAUUUAUUUUACACUUUAUAUCUUUAAUUCUAAAAGAUAUACUCUACUAUGUAGUUUUAUACCACACAGAUGUUAAAGUCUAAAUCUAAACCCUAGGAAAAUGAUUGGUAAAGUGUUUUUAACAAUUUAGUCAAAUUCUAAUGGACAAUCAUAAACUAGUUAUAAUAUCCAAAUUUUUAUUUUUUAAAACAUGAAAAAGAUGCAUUUUGUUUAAUGAAAAUAUGUUUGGGAAACUUUUUAGGAUUUGGAUAUAUGCAUAAAAACAAAAAAUGUAUAUUUUUUAUUUUUUGAAAUGGGAAAUUAAUUUAGAAGUUUUGAAAUUUAUUUUGAUUUUUUUUAAUAUUAUUUAGAAAUAUUUCAGAGAAAAUCAGGUAUGUUAAUACCGGAUUUGUAUCUUAUAAUGUAAAUAUACUACCUAAUAUUAUACAAAAUUGAUAAAAAAACAUUCGAGAAAAUUAAAAUGUUUUUAGAAAGAUGUUUUAUUUUUUUAUAAUAUUAUAUUAUAUUAUAAAUAAAUAGAUAUUAAAUAAAUAUGGAUAGUGCAGCCCAACUAACUAGAUGGAACUUAACCCAAGAAAUAUAAGGUUGAUCCCAACCCACCAAGGGUGUUGGGCCAAUCUUGUUGCAACACUUUUUUUUUACGUUUUUAGUACGGAUUAGAACCAUCCUAAUUAUUUGGGAUGGGCUAGAAAUAGCCUCACUCAAAGUUCAUUGCAUGAAUAGUUGAACAUGAAGUAUACAAUGGGUUAUAAUUCAUACCCAUUGUAUGAUUAGUAGGUUAGUAGGAUGUGAAUUACAAUCUAUGCUCACUGUUUAUGUGAACAGAAAGGGAAGAAAAGGAAAGGGGCUCACUUGGCUCAGGGAUUGCGGAUAUCGUCAAAUGAAAUGCAAUUACAAUUUCAGGAUGUGUUAGCAACAAUUCCACGACGUCGCAUCCAAUGUUUCUCAGACGCAUGAAGCACAAGGCUAAGCUUCUGUCUUCAAGUGGAAGUCUACAGCAUAUUGAAGAUGAAUGUGAGGUGGAAUCCCAAGGCUCACUGGACUCAGGAAUCAGACAAGGGAAUCUUCGUUGUUUAACAUCUUCAAAUUCUGUUGUUGAGGCAGAGGUGCAGGGAACGUUGAAAACUGGGCGGGCAUUGGUUUUGGAUGUUGAGGACUUGCAGGUGCUGGAACAUCCAUUAGAGGCCAGGUGGACAGAAAGCUGGAAGAUUGGAAUGACGACCAAUAAUGCCAUUUUGCAGCUCGACAGUGGAUAUGUAUUACCUUCUUUCUUAAUGAAGAUCUUACUCUGGAAUAGAUGUGGAUUGGGUAUGUCUGCUAAGGGGGUAUCGAUUAGGAAUACUGUUCUGCAUAAUGACAUUAAGGUGUGUUUUCUGCUAGGAACUAAGAGGGCAAUGUGCUGUGACAAUUUUGUUCAUGCAUUAUAGAAUAACUUAUCAGUCAAAUGGUUUCCACUUAAUUCAGUUGAUUAGGCUGGAGGUAUUUUAGCUACGUGGGAUGAAAGUAAGUUCAUGGUUCAUUCAAUUGAAUAUUGGAUUGGCAUAUUGAGAAGCAAUUUACUUGUGCAAUCAUAGGAGUCUAUGCAGGAAUCAUAGUUCAUGUGAGACACCUUUGUUCAUUGUUGGGGACUUCAAUGAAACAUUGCAUCAGUGUAAAAGUAACAGUGGCUAUUUGAAUGGCAUUGGUUCUACGGAUUUCAAAAGAUUCAUAUCCAAUUGCAAUCUUUUGGAGUAUCCCCUCUCUGGUCACCGAUACACAAGAUUUCAUGGCAACUCAAUGAGUAGAACUGAUAGAGCCUUUGCCACUCCAUACUUCCAUUUAACAUUCUCAGGUCUCCUACUCAAUCGGUUUCCACAAGAAUUGUCUGAUCACUGCCCAAUGAUCUUAGGACUGCAAUGCCAAACUUGGAGAUGGAAGCCAUUUCGUUUCCUCAAUUGUUAGGUCUCUAAGCCUAUGUCUAUGGACAAACUUGAGGGUCUUUGCCAGGAGUGUAGUAUUAAGGACAAUGGGAGACUUCACAUGGUUAAAAAGCUUGCCUUUAUGGCUAUGAAAUUCAGAAUAUGGAAUAGAAAGGAAUUUGGCAAUCAGGACUUGAAACUGUUGCAGCUUUAGCGUGACAUCCAGCGACUGGAGAAUAUAGAAGAGGACAAACAGCUUAACCAUGAAGAACUUUCUAUGCUGCAAAUCUUGCGCUCUAAGCCGUCGGAAAUCAACAAGUUUGUGGAAUCAAUCUGCAGUACAAAAUCAAGACAGACCUGGUGCAAGCCUUGGAGAUAACAAUACAAAAUUCUUCCACAUUAUAGCUAAUAUUCGAAGGAGUGGAAAACUCUAUCACUCGUAUCAGAUACAAUGAUAUACUGCAUACCUUUCCCAAGGACAUCAAGGAGGCGGCAAUAUCCUAUUUCUCAAGUCUGUUCACUAAUGAAAUCUCUACAAGAGCUACAAUGGGGUUCAAUAAACUAUCCAUAAUGCAAACUCAACAACUUGAACAAGCGGUAACUAUGGAAGAGGUCAAGCAAAUGAUUUGGAGUUGUGAUGGAACAAAAGCCCCAGGUCUUGACUGCUUCACCUUCAUUUUCUAUAAAAACGCAUGGCAUUUGAUAGGGCCUAACAUUUUUUAUAUGGUGCUUGAAUUUUCUGGACUAAGGAAAUUACCAACAGGAAUUAACAUCUCUCAUAUGGCCUUUGUUCCAAAAUCAAAGCUAUCUACAGAAUUUUCAGAGUAAGGCCAAUAAGUUUAGUGCAUGGCUUGUACAAAAUUAUAGGUAAACUGCUAUCCAACAAAUUGAAAGUCAUUAUGCUUUGUUGUAACACAUUUUCGGGUCCUUACAAAAAUAAAAAUAAAAUAAAUAGCCAAAGAAGGUUAGAAAAAUAACGGAAGGCAGAAGCACUCAGAAAAUGGUCAGAAAAUUAGUCAAGGAGUAUAAAAAUACAAAGAUUGGAUUUUUGACAGUAUAUUCUUGAAGGAUAAGGGCCCUGUUUAGAAGGAAAAUUUAAAUUUUGAGGAGAAAAGCCCAAAUUUGAAUGUUUAUGGACUUAAUUGGUUUUUUAAUUGGAUUUAUAGAGGAUUUGAUUGCAAGGAAAAUUGAUUUUUAAGUCAAUUUGAGCUUUAAUUAGAAGAAAUUUAAGUUCUGGGGCCAAAAUAUAUUUGUUAGGAUUUUAUUGGGUCAAAUCAGGGGCUUAAUUAUAUAAAUAUUAAAGUUUAAUGGCCAAUUAGGGACUUAAUUGAGAAAAUCCGAAACCAGGGAUCAAUUUGGAAAGGCGUGUAAAUAGGGGGGCUGUUUGGGAUUGAUCCGGGGUCAAAUUGAAAGAAAUUGAAAACUGGAGGACUAAUGUCGACUGUUACUGUUCACUUUCUUCCUCAAAAAGCUGUCUGAGUGGCUGCUUUCCAGGCGCAUUUUCCUGCUCGUGUGGCCUCCAAAUCUGACCAAACUUGCACCAAAAUGUCCACAUGAAACCCCUUUAUCCCGGAAAAUGGUCCGGUCAGGUCGGAAAAGUUAGAAAAGACUCCGUUGAGUGGCUCAAAGUGGCCACCUCGGGCAGUUCACACCCUUGAGCUGCCAAAUUUGGCAGCUCGAGGUGCACACUUUGAGCCAACGGUUGAGAUGCUUCCCAACUGAAUCAAGGGCUGCAAUAUUUCCCCAACGUAGACAAGAUUGCCCUCUUCCACGGCCUAUAAAUAGAGUCGGAUUUGAUGAUAUGAAGGGGGAGAAAGUCGGUUCCAAAGUCAGCCAAAAACCAGCAUUUUCACCCAAUUUCUGCAGAUUUUUCUUCUCUUCUUUCUUCCUCUGCAACAGGAACCCGACGCCGUCUUCCUCCAACUCCACAGCUGCAACCACCGUCUGAACCACCUCAUCACAGCAUCCACAACCCCUUCGGCCAAGUGAGCCCCUCUUCCUUUCCUCCUUUUCUUCUUCUUCUUCCUCCUUACCUACUGUUCACUGCAUGAACAGUAGGCGUGAAAUAUAAACUGACAAGAGAAAAUGUCAUAUUUUGCAGACUUCUGCUAUAUAGAAGAGAUAAAUGGUGCUUCCGGUGACUACUGUGAUGAAAACAACAGGGAAUACCCAUGUGUUCCACGCAAGAACUACUAUGGCCGCGGACCACUCCAACUAUCAUGGAACUACAACUAUGGGCCAGCCGGAAGGAGCAACAACUUUGAUGGAUUGAACAAUCCUGACAUUGUAGCAAGGGAUGCUGUUGUGUCAUUUAAGACAGCCUUAUGGUUUUGGAUGAACAGAGUUCGUCCUGUUGUAAGCCAAGGUUUUGGAGCAACAAUUCGAGCCAUUAAUAGUAUAGAAUGCAAUGGUGGAAACGCAGGUGCUGUUCAGGCUCGUGUUAGAUAUUAUAGAGAUUAUUGCAGUCAACUCGGCGUUUCUACUGAGAAUAACCUCACUUGCUAGGUUUUUAAAUAACCUGAGUUGUUAUGCCAAGUUAUGGAUAAUCAUAUGAAAAUAAGAUGUACUGCUAUGAAACAAGUUGAAGAGAAAUAAAGUUUAUAAUUAUCGUUAUGUCUCUUAUAGUUUUUCUUUUGAUGUCCCUAUUUUAUAAAUGAAAAAUUCAAAAAAAAUAUUUUUUAUAUAUUUUUUCUUGAAAAAAUUCAAAAUUGUUUCAGGUGGAAGGGGAAAACAAUCUCAGAGGUUUGCAAAGGCCAUAUCAACAAAAAUAUAUUAAGCUUCUAUUAUUAAUGGCCUCCCACUUUUUAAACCAUCUUUUUUUCUGAAAUAUGAUAGUCUAUCAAUUUUGUUAUCAGCACAGACUAUAAAAUAGGAGUGGCUUUGAAGAACAACUGCUGGAUUAAGAUUAGCAAUGAGAGCAAUAUUCACUUCUAAAUAGGCAAGUGGCUGGCUGGUGGGCUGUUAAAAGAUAUUUAUCCACACCUUUUCUCCUUCAUCACAACACCUUCUCCCUGCUUGUUAGAUAUAGGGGACAAUGCUAAAACUUAGCGGCAAUGAAGACUUCACUGAAAAGAUGCUUGCGGACAUUAGAAGAGGAGCAAUUAAAUGACAUGAAUCGACUGUUAGCAGGGGUAACAUUGCAGUCAAGCAGAGGUGAUAAAAAAAUAUGGGCAGGAGGAGACACAAGCGGGCUAUAUAUCAAGUAUGACAAUGAUUUAAUUGAUUACAUUCUAUUUCUAGGAAACUUCAUAUUCACUUCCCUUUUGUGGAAAGGAUCUGCCCCGCCAAAGGUAGAAAUGUUCAUAUGGAUAUUGCUCCGAAGCAGAGUAUAUACAAGAGCCUUUCUAGCACACCGCCAUUUACUACAUCCCAGUCAAGCUAUAUAUCCCUUUUGUGAACAUGAAAGAGAGCAUGCUCCUCAUCUUUUCCUUCAUUGCUACCACAUGUGGAGAUUAUGGAAAUGAUUUUUGAGAUGGUUUGAUAGCUUUAAGUGUAUGUUAAAUACAAUAGAUCAAGUCAUCUGGCAAUGGAGUGACAUGGUCAAAGGUAAGUUCCAACUCAUACUCCAUCGUCUUGCACUAUAGUUAAAUGUCUGGAAUAAUAAUUUUUCGUAUACAAAGAAUGGUUUGAUUAAAGAUCCUUAAGGUAUUUUGACAUGGUCUAAUAAGUUAUGAGUUCUUGUCUGGAGGAGCUUGUUAGCAGCAUCUCCUUUCUCCUUGUUUUCCCGUUAGCUACCGGUUCUUAAGUUUCUUUAGUUAAGUCAUUCAUCAUACGUAAUUUAAGCUCUUAAUGAGAGGAAAAUGUAGGGUUGGAAAAAAGUUAGGUGGGAAGUGAUAAUCAGUACAUACCAAGCCAAAUAAGAUUGUCUGAUCUAGAAAUAGAUACAGAGGACUCAAUAGGAUUGUGUCUGAUGUAGUGAUAAAGUUUCUACCUUUUAUGGUAUAUAACUCUCUGACCACUUCAACAACAUGCCACGUAAAGACAUUAAUGUCAUUAUCCUAGAUAUUUUUGCUAAACUUUAUAGACUAAAUAAUAAUCAACUCCUAGAUAUUUUACAGUAAAAUUACAGACCUCGUCCACUUUGUGCCUCUAUAAAUAGCUUAACCUCGACCUUAUCUCCACACAUCACAAGAAAUUCCCUUCUCUCUUUUCCUAUCAAUAUCGAAACUCCCUUCAGGAGUAGCGAAAAUGAGAAGCAAUAUUCUACUUACCAUUAUCUUAGCCAUAGUUCUUGCAGGAGCCCUUCCCAAGAAUGUGGUAGAGGCUCAGAAUUGUGGCUGUGCUGCAAACCUUUGUUGCAGUCAAUAUGGCUACUGUGGCACUGGCAAUGCCUAUUGUGGUCAGGGAUGUAAACAAGGGCCCUGUGCUUCAUCACCUACGCCUACUACCCCUAGUGGGAGUGGUUCUGUUGCUGAUAUUGUUACGCCUGCUUUCUUCAAUGGUAUAAUCAACCAAGCUGGUGCAGGCUGUGCUGGGAAGAAUUUCUAUACAAGAAAUGCAUUUCUCAGUGCUGUCAAUUCAUAUUCUCAAUUUGGUAAACUUGGUUCAGCUGAAGCUUCUAAGCGUGAGAUUGCAGCUUUCUUCGCUCAUGUUACUCACGAGACUGGGCGUAAGUUCCAUUUCCAUCCCUAAUAACAUUUCUCGCAGCAUUUGAAUAGCAAGCAUGAUAGCCAACAGUAUUCUGUCUGUCUGUCUGUCUGUCUUUUCCACAAAUACAUUUGUCCGCAUAUGGAUUUUUUCAACAAAGUGAACUGUCUAAUAAGCGUGUUUCAGCUCCUCGUGUGUAAACUGACAAGAGAAAAUGUCUUUUUUUGCAGACUUCUGCUAUACAGAAGAGAUAAAUGGUGCUUCCCGUGACUACUGUGAUGAAAACAACAGGCAAUACCCAUGUGUUGCAGGCAAGAAAUACCAUGGCCGCGGACCAAUCCAACUAUCAUGGAACUACAACUAUGGGCCAGCCGGAAGGAGCAACAACUUUGAUGGAUUGAACAAUCCUGACAUUGUAGCAAGGGAUGCUGUUGUGUCAUUUAAGACAGCCUUAUGGUUUUGGAUGAAAAGUGUUCGUCCUGUUGUAAGCCAAGGUUUUGGAGCAACUAUUCGAGCCAUUAAUGGUAAUGAAUGCAAUGGUGGAAACUCAGGUGCCGUUCAGGCUCGUGUUAGAUAUUAUAGAGAUUAUUGCAGUCAACUCGGCGUUGCUACUGAGAAUAACCUCGCUUGCUAGGUUUUAAAAUAACCGGAGUUGUUAUGCCAAGUUAUGGCUAAUCAUAUGAAAAUAAGAUGUACUGCUAUGAAACAAGUUGAAGAGAAAUAAAGUUUAUAAUUAUCGUUAUGUCUCUUAUAGUUUUUCAGUAAUUUUGAUGUCCCUUUUUAUAUUUAUUUUUAUUACUUAGAAAAACCUCCACUUUACGUGCCAUAAAUUUGUUUUGAAAUUCAAUUUACGCCUUGUAUUUUAUUUUCCAUCAAUUUAAUCCAAUUUGACCAAAAGAUUGGAUCCAUCGAACCCAAUAUAUUAGCAAUUUGAAAUUGAAAUCACUAUAUGUGUGCAUAUUCAUUUAUUCUUCCAUUUCCGUAAUAAAUUUUCAAAUUUAUGUUAAUAUCAGUAGUAGGAUCUACUCUAAUUAAUAACUUCUUGAGUAAAACAAAAACCAAAGGAAAAAAAAUAUAUUUUUAAAUAACUCUUUUUUCCCAGGAAUUUGUCCUCAUUUUAAUAAAUCUUGAUUUUUACAUAUUGCUUAUGCUAGAGACUAGAUAGAGACGAGAAGGUAUGCGUUUUUUCCCGUCCCAGUUAUACAAGCAUAUUGUUACAAUGAUCUCCAUAUAUAUUUUUUAUAUCAAUACAAGAUAAAAAAAUUAAAAAAAAAUAUUAAUUUAGUGUUUCACGUAAGGACACUAAAAAUCAUGUUGAGCCGACGUUGAACAUCAUCAAUAUUAAUGGAGAGACUUUUCAAAGAAGAUGUCAAGUCCAUUUCUUACAUGAUAGCAAUUGUGGAUUGGGGUCCAUGUCCAUGGACAACAUCGCAUUGAUCUUGAUGUUAAUGAAACAAGUUUGAAAUACAGUGGCAAAAAAUCGAUUUGCCAGACAAAAAAAUGAAAAAUGAAAAAUUAGGCAACUUCCAGUUAUUUCCUUUUGCUUCCCAAUUAUCAUAUUGUUUGGCGGUGCUAGGCCAUGUGCUUGGCUCACUUGACCGACAGCACUAUACGUUGCUACCCAUUUCUUAUCCAGCUAGCUAGAUGCGGAAGAAACGUUGGUGUUUUUUUUAAUACAUUUCCAAAAAAAAUAAUACUUUAAAAAAUAAUUAUCAUUACAUUUUUAAUGAGUUAAUCACCAAGAGAUAGAGAAAGUGUUGCGUGUUAAAAAAUCAAUUCAGUCUAGUAACUUAAGUUAUUAGGUUAGAUUUCAAGAUAUGAUUUAUAUUAUUUUAUAACAUACUAUUUCAAGUCAUUUGGAUUGUAUAUAUCCAUAUUACUUUGUGCUUAAUUUUUAUCAAAUAAAUGAGGAUGAUGAGUGUUGCUACCCAAUUUUUGACCCAUGUUUUAAUAUAUUUUCAAAAAUCCAAAAAAAUUUGAGAAAAACAAAGAAAAUCCAAAAAAUAUUUUUUAAUAUAUUUUCGUCAUUUUAGCAUUUUCAACGUCGUUUAAAAAGAAUUUAAAUUGUUAAAAUAUUUUCAAACGCGUUCGACUUUUCACGCGUAAUUUUUAAAAUCGUUGAUUUUCCGCAUUUUAGUUGACGUUGAUAUUGCUCGUUUUCAAAAAAUACAAAAAAAUAAGAAAAAUCAAAAUUUACAAAAAGAAGAAGUUGAGGGACCAAGUUGAAAAACCUAGCAAAUUUUCCUAUAAAUACCAUGCUAAACUGAUUUUUAAAGGGGGGGCAAUUUUGAAAUAUCAGAAAAUACAAAAAAAAUAACCUAACCCUAAACCUAUCUCUACCAAGCCUGCAGCCCCCCUUUCCCCUUGGUUUGAAUUUUUUUUCUACAGCCGCCGGCCACAAACCAAAGCCAAACACAGCCACCCCUUCAGCCUUUUCUUUCUCAACAGACCCCCACAUUUGAACCCACGGUCCAACCAUCUCUUUCAGCCCUUUGAAACAAAAAAACAGCAGCCGUCUCCAAGCCUUUUUCCCGUUACAACAGCCACCACCGUUUUUUUUCUUCUCUUCAACCUCACAAAGGACCAGCCGGCGGCGCCCCCCCCCCUUUUUGGGUCUUGAGUUUUUCCCCGGCCAUCUCUGAUCUCCCUCUUCUCAGCCGGACAACCAUCGUCUCCCAGCUCUCCCCUCAGCAGCUCCUUCUUCUCCUUCGAUCCCAGCAGCGACGACCUCCACAAAAGCUCAGCCACACGCCAUCACAGAAACCAGCGGAGCUCCCCCCUCCACAGAUCCUCCCUCUACUCUCCGCAGCUCCUGAACCAGACUCCGGACACUCAGCGGCGCUCCUCUCAGUCACCAACAGCGACGACCCACAGACCGACCUCGCAGCAGCUGCUCUUGCCCAGCGCCGUCGCCGCCCAACCGCCAGACCGCCACCGAUUGAAGAAGGAAUGAGGGACGCCAGAAGGAGAAAGAUAACCGGAAACAAUAGAUCUAAAAAAUGAAAAAUCAGAAUAGAUCUGGACAAAAAAUGGAGUAAAAUCAACUGUUUGUGGCCCCUUUUUUGUAUUUCUUGUUGCAGGCGAGGUGGCAGUGACCACCGGCGAGGAAGAAGAGAGGAAGCCGCUUUCGAUCUCCCCUGCGUUUUUUAUGCGGCGCGCGUGAACCACGCGCCGCCAGUGACGGGGCGCGUGGGGAGACGCGCCGCCCAUGCUCCUGCUGCCCUUUGUCUCACAGAACUGUCCCUGCACUGUUAUAGAUUUUUAGGGUUUAUUUUGUAAUUUGUUUUUAAUUGUUUGAUGUAAUAUUUGUUUAAUUUGAAUUUUAUUUGUAUUUUGUAAAUAGGGAUGUAAAAGAAAAGAAAAGAAAAGAGAAAAGAAAAGAAAAAAACAAAAAUAAUACAGUAAAAGUGAAUGUGGGUAUUUGUUUUUAUUUUUUAAUAUAUUUUUUUAAUGAUAAAAUUGCAGAUAUUAAAAGAAGAAUUUAAUAUUUUGAUUGGAUCACGGUUAAGAAUUAUUAACUUAUACGUAAGUGAUAUUUCUAAUUUCCGAUGAAAAGACAAUUAUUAAAACUUUUUUUAACACGUCAAAGACACGAAGCAGCUUACCUCAGGUAGGGUGCGUUAGGGGUGCAAUACCUUCCCUAACCACAACCAGUCCCUUACCCGCGAAUCUCUGACAAGACCAGUACAUCCGGUUUCCUAGUAGCCUUCAAUGAAUUACUAGGUGGCGACUCCAACGAACCGAUUCAAGCAAACGUAACGCAACAACGAUAAAAAUCGCCAGCCGAUGCCGCGCGCCGACUGAUUUUUUUGGGGUGCGACAAUGAGAUUUGAAUUCGUGACCAUUUAAUUAUCAAGGGUUUAAUAUCAUGUUAAAAAAUAAUCUUAACCUAAUAGCAUAAGCUACUAGAUAAGGUUUUAAAAUAUAAUUUAUAUUAUUUUUUAAUAUUAAACUAUUAAAUUAAGAUUUUCUUUAAGACUGUGAGGUAGAAAUUGAGUUGAGUUGAGAAGAGUGUUUCUCCUCCUCCUUGUAAUAUGAACGGCAUCUCUAAUUAAUAAAACAGAUAUUGUAGGCAAAUUAGUCAACCACAUGCGUCGAUUCUGGGCAUCCAUUUUUAUCCUAACAGUUAGCUACAAAAACUAGAAAAAGAAAGGAGCACUAGAAGACGGGUUUAAUUUUAUUUUUUCCUAACCUUUCAUUUAUGGUGAAAGGUUGUCUUCUCUAUCUUAAAAAUAUAUAGGAAGGGGACGUAGAUUUUGGGUAAGUAGCUAGUCAACGACGGCUAUGCCCAUUCUAUGCCAUUGGGCGCCAGUAACUUCAAAUAGCUACUUCAAACUAUUGACUGUUGGUUAUGUAUUUUAAAUUUUUUUUAAAAUUUUUAAAAUUUUAUUAUUAACUUCAAAUUAAUAUAUUUUUAUUGUUUUUAAAUUAUUUUGAUAUGCUGAUGUCAAAAGUAAUUUUUUUAAAUAAAAACAAAUCAUUACAUGGUAUUUAGACAUAAAAAAUUAUUUAAAGAGCAACCACAACUACACUGCACAAAAUAAAAUAAAUAAUAAGAUAUUAUGUUGUUUUUCGUGAGGAGAUAGGGUUGGACAGCCUUUUUCCUCCAAAGUCUGAACUAGCAUGUGGUAAACUACCAAUUGAAUCUGUGUCUUUUAUGUGGACAAGAUUUCUAUUUUCUUGCCUAACUUCUUUCGACUUUUGCUUGAAAUGGUAGUGGUUGCUUAUCCUUUCCUAGUUGCUUGAAAAGUAAUACACAUAAGCCAGCAAUGGAACAAACAAUUGGUACGUAUGAUUACCAUCUAUCGUGUGCUGCCGGUAACAGCACAAUACAAAGUUAAAACUUCAUGUUUUUUUUUAAAAAAACUAACGUUAUGAAUAUCCAAAAGCCUUGAAAUGAUUUAGACAAAAAAUCCACCGUUAGUGAUUGGAUGUUCAAAUAUCUCAUUCGCUGCGACGAGGUCGGAUGUUAGAAAUAUGGGUGAACUCUCCUCCAGUUUUGAAUAGCUUUAGCUUCCUCGGUUUUUCCUAUAUUUGAGAUACGACUCGAAAACAAAAGGGUUGAUAUUAUUUUACAUAUAUACGACAUGUAUUCCAUAUAUAUAGAUCCAUGAUAUACAGCGGGUUAAUAAAUUAAUUUUUUCAAAUAUCAAAAAAUAUAAAAAGUAUAGAAUUUUUUUUAACUAUUCUUAAAGUAUCCUAAAUAAUUUUUUUAUAAACAAUUAUUUAAACUACCCUUAAAAUAUCAUAAACAAAAAUGCUAAUUAAUUUUUAUAUAUAUAUAUUUUAAAAAACAUUAAAAUUACCCUGUCCUAAAUAAUGUUUUUUAAUUUUUUUAUAAAAAAAUAUAAACUACCCUUCAAGUAUCUUAAAUAGAAAUACUAAUUAGUUUUUUAUAGAUAUUGUUUAUUAUAAAAACACUUGAACUACCCUUGAAGUAUCCUAUAUCAUUUAUUGUAUAAAUGUUUUCUAUUGUUUAUAAAAAAUAUAUUUAAAUUACCAUUGAAGUAUCAUAAAUAAUUUUUUUAAUAUAUUUUUCUAUUUUUUAUAUAAAAAAAUUAAAUUACCUUUAAAGUAUCCUAAACAUAAACACUAAUUAAUUUUUUUAUAAAUAUUUUAUUUUUAAAAAAUAAAUAGGUUUGGCAGCCAUGCUAGACCCAAUAAUCUUGGGUCUCGCAGUAAUACCAAGCCUAGAAUCCUUGGAUCUGGUGGCAAUCCGAGACCCAAGAACGCUGGUUCUAGAGGGUAAACCAUACACAAUAGCUUUAUGUUUGAUUGCCAUGUCAAACCCACUAUGCUUGGGUUAGGCGGUUAUGCCUUGGCUCAACACGUUGUAGCAACUUUUAGAAUAAAAAAUGGAAAAGAUAAAAAUGGUAAAAAAAAUUAUUUUUUUUCUAGUUUUUACAUAUAAAAAAUGAAACUAUCCUUCAAGUAUUCUAAACUGAAAUUCUAAUUAAUGUAUUUUAAAAUUUUAUUAUUAUUUUUAUUAAAAGCAUAAACUACCCUUGAAUUAUUAUAAAGAAAAACGCAAAUUAAUUUUAUUUAUAGUGUUUUUUUUUGUUUUUUCUAUUAAAAAAAUAUUAAAACUACCCUUGAUGUAUCUAAAUAAAAAUACUAAUUAGUUUUUUAUAAAUUUUAUUUAUUUUUUAUGAAAAACAUAAACUACCCUUGAAUUAUUAUAAAGAAAAACGCAAAUUAAUUUUAUUUAUAGUGUUUUUUUUUGUUUUCUCUAUAAAAAAAUAUUAAAACUUUUUUUAAUUUCUAUUAUUUUUUAUAAAAACAAACAUUUAAACUACUAUUGAUGUAUCAUAAACAACAAUGUAAAUUAAUUUUGUUUUAUAAUAUCUUUAUUUUUUAUUUCUAAAAAAAAUAUUAAAACUACCCUUAAUGUAUCCUAACUAAAAUUUUAAAAAACGUUUAGUGCAUGUUUGUAAUAAAUUGAAUGAUCAUCCAAUGAAUGUAAGUUUUUUAAUAAUGAGUUGUUAAGUUAUAUAUUCAGAUUAUUUGAUUACUCUACAAAUUUUAAUUUUCUUUUUGCAUAUUAAAAGUUCAUAAAGAUUUUAAUACAUCAUUACAAGUUUAAGUUUGGAGUUGUAAGAAAAGUGUAAUGUUUAUAUCAAUAACAUUAAAUUUAACUUUUAACUUUGAAAUUCAAAAUCCUUUAAAUUGAAUAGAGGUAGGCAUAAAAGAACCCGAAUCACUGGGUCUACCAAAUCAAAGAUCCAGUUUAUGUAGGUUAUAUUGUCAUUAAAGUGUCCAAAGCACAAACUGUGCUCCACUAGUUUACUUUUCAAAGCUGCAAAGCUUCAAUCUCAACAUAUAUCUGCGCACAAAAUAGUUGCAAGGAUCAGUAAAUCUUGAGAAUAAACAACUAAUUAAUGGGAUAAAAGAAAGAUCCAAUAGUUUUUCGAUACAAAUAAUAUAAUUUCAUACUGAUAGGUCUUGUGAGCAAGCUGCAUCUUUCCUUUCCUAGAUGAAAUUCAUGUGAAAUAUUUUUUUCGACAGUCCAACUCUUUCAUUUUUCGGUUUCUGUUCUUUCAAUCUUAACUGAAAAAUUAGACUUAUACCAAUCAACUUCUUCAACUAGGAUGUAAUAUUAGCACUGAAACUAUAUAUAUAUAAAAUUGCAGCUCGAUCACUAUCCUAGUCUUUCUAUUAAAAAUUAUGAGUACUGCAAAUUACAGAACCACUUGUAUAAACUGGCUUUGACCCCUACCAGAACCUUGCUAGGAUAAUAGAAAAGAAUAAACCCAUCACUUUUUAUUUAUUGUCAUGAAUAUGAUAAAACUAAACUAGCUGUUUCUUACGAUGCUAUAUAAAAAGAUUCAAAAUCACCAAGAUUUUGUACUUGGUUUGUAGUAAAAUAGAAUUUUGAUUUGUUUCUUCCUGCAAUCCUCGCAUGAAAAAUAGCAUUAAUGAAAGACUCUAUGGAAGUAAAAAGGUCACUUUGGCUAUCUUUCAUGUCCAUUUGAUCACUCCAAAAUAAUAGAGGAGUUGGAAAAGCCAAUUAAUGAGCAGCUAAAAGCCCAAGGUAUAUUAUCUUUGUCACACGGGGGCACGAUGUCAGGGGUGAUGACGAGCUUUUCAUGCUUCCUGAGGAGGUGUCGUUGUUGGAAAAGAAAUAGGUUUGGGUUUAAUCAUAGAUUAUAAUUAAGUUUUGGAGCCGCUACCUAGUAUUAUAAUAAAUAGAAACCUAUGGUUUGCAAGAGUCCGGGUAAAAGACUAGUUGUGUGAGGGGAUGACACAUCACUCCUAGUGCACCCUACCUAAGAUACAUUGCAUUGUUACUUGAUUGUUUUUCUAUGUCAAGUUUAUAUUCGUUGGUCUUUUUUCUAAGGUUCAAGGUAGAUCUUUCUUCGUGAGUCUUUACCUCAUCGGGUUUAAUUAUAACUAUUUUAAAGAUCAAAUUUUAGCAUUGCAUUUAUUUUACACUUUGUAUCUUUAAUACUAAAAGAUAUACUCUACUAUGUAGUUUUAUACCACACAAACGUUAAAGUCUACAUCUAAACCCUAGGAAAAUGAUUGGUAAAGGGUUUUUGAAAAUUUAGUCAAAUUCUAAUGGACAAUCAUAAACUAGUUACAAUAUCCAAAUUUUUUUAAAAAAAACAUGAAAAAUAUGCAUUUUUUUUAUGUUUUUUUAUGAAAAUAUGUUUGGAAAACUUUUUAGGAUUUGGACGUAUGUAUAAAAACAAAAAAAAAAUAUUUUUUUAUUUUUUGAAAUGGAAAAUUAAUUUAAAAGUUUUGAAAUUUAUUUUGAUUUUUUUAAAAUAUUUUUUAGAAAUUUUUCAGAGAAAAUCAGGUAUGUUAAUACCGGAUUUGUAUCUGACAAUGUAAAUAUACAACCUAAUAUUAUACAAAAUUGAUAGAAAAACAUUCGAGAAAAUCAAAAUGUUUUUGAAAAGAUGUUUUAUUUUUUUUAUAAUAUUAUAAAUAAAUAAAUAUUAAAUAAAUAUGGAUAGUAUAGCCCAACUAACUCGAUCGAACUUAACCCAAGAAAUAUAAGGUUGAUCCCAACCCAAGAAGGGUGUUGGGCCAAUCUUGUUCCAACACAUUAUUUUUACGUUUUUAGUACGGAUUAGAACCAUCCUAAUUAUUUGGGAUGGGCUAGAAAUAGCCUAACUCAAAGUUAAUAGUUGAACAUGAAGUAUACAAUGGGCUAUAAUUCAUACCCAUUGUUGAUGCAUGAUUAGUAGGAUAGUAGGAUGUGAAUUACAAUCCAUGCUUACUGUUUAUGUGAACAGAGAGGGAAGAAGAGGAAAGGGGGCUCACUUGGCUCAUGGGUUGCGGAUAUCGUCAAAUGAAAUCCAAUUACAAUUUCAGGAUUUGUUAGCAACAAUUCCACGACGUCGCAUCCAAUGUUUCUCAGACGCAUGAAAGCACAAGGCUAAGCUUCUCUCUUCAAGUGGAAGUCUACAGCAUAUUGAAGAUGAAUGUGAGGUGGAAUCCCAAGGCUCACUGGACUCAGGAAUCAGACAAGGGAAUCUUCGUUGUUUAACAUCUUCAAAUUCUGUUGUUGAGGCAGAGGUGCAGGGAACGUUGAAAACUGGGCGGGCAUUGGGUUUUGGAAUGUUGAGGACUUGCAGGUGCUGGGAACAUCCAUUAGAGGCCAGGUGGACAGAAAGCUGGAAGAUUGGAAUGACGACCAAUAAUGCCAUUUUGCAGCUCGACAGUGGAUAUGUAUUACCUUCUUUCUUAAUGAAGAUCUUACUCUGGAAUAGAUGUGGAUUGGGUAUGUCUGCUAAGGGGGUAUCGAUUAGGAAUACUGUUCUGCAUAAUGACAUUAAGGUGUGUUUUCUGCUAGGAACUAAGAGGGCAAUGUGCUGUGACAAUUUUGUUCAUGCAUUAUAGAAUAACUUAUCAGUCAAAUGGUUUCCACUUAAUUCAGUUGAUUAGGCUGGAGGUAUUUUAGCUACGUGGGAUGAAAGUAAGUUCAUGGUUCAUUCAAUUGGAUUGCAUAUUGAGAAGCAAUUUACUUGUGCAAUCAUAGGAGUCUAUGCAGGAAUCAUAGUUCAUGUGAGACACCUUUGUUCAUUGUUGGGGACUUCAAUGAAACAUUGCAUCAGUGUAAAAGUAACAGUGGCUAUUUGAAUGGCAUUGGUUCUACGGAUUUCAAAAGAUUCAUAUCCAAUUGCAAUCUUUUGGAGUAUCCCCUCUCUGGUCACCAUACACAAGAUUUCAUGGCAACUCAAUGAGUAGAACUGAUAGAGCCUUUGCCACUCCAUACUUCCAUUUAACAUUCUCAGGUCUCCUACUCAAUCGGUUUCCACAAGAAUUGUCUGAUCACUGCCCAAUGAUCUUAGGACUGCAAUGCCAAACUUGGAGAUGGAAGCCAUUUCGUUUCCUCAAUUGUUAGGUCUCUAAGCCUAUGUCUAUGGACAAACUUGAUGGUCUUUUCCAGGAGUGUGGUAUUAAGUACAAUGGGAGACUUCACAUGUUUAAAAAGCUUGCCUUUAUGGCUAUGAAAUUCAGAAUAUGGAAUAGAAAGGAAUUUGGCAAUCAGGACUUGAAACUGUUGCAGCUUUAGCGUGACAUCCAGCGACUGGAGAAUAUAGAAGAGGACAAACAGCUUAACCAUGAAGAACCUUCUAUGCUGCAAAUCUUGCGCUCUAAGCCGUGGGAAAUCAACAAGUUUGUGGAAUCAAUCUGCAGUACAAAAUCAAGACAGAGCUGGUGCAAGCCUUAGAGAUAAGAAUACAAAAUUCUUCCACAUUAUAGCUAAUAUUCGAAGGAGUGGAAAACUCUAUCACUCGUAUCAGAUACAAUGAUAUACUGCAUACCUUUCCCAAGGACAUCAAGGAGGCGGCAAUAUCCUAUUUCUCAAGUCUGUUCACUAAUGAAAUCUCUACAAGAGCUACAAUGGGGUUCAAUAAACUAUCCAUAAUGCAAACUCAACAACUUGAACAAGCGGUAACUAUGGAAGAGGUCAAGCAAAUGAUUUGGAGUUGUGAUGGAACAAAAGCCCCAGGUCUUGACUGCUUCACCUUCAUUUUCUAUAAAAACGCAUGGCAUUUGAUAGGGCCUAACAUUUUUUAUAUGGUGCUUGAAUUUUCUGGACUAAGGAAAUUACCAACAGGAAUUAACAUCUCUCAUAUGGCCUUUGUUCCAAAAUCAAAGCUAUCUACAGAAUUUUCAGAGUAAGGCCAAUAAGUUUAGUGCAUGGCUUGUACAAAAUUAUAGGUAAACUGCUAUCCAACAAAUUGAAAGUCAUUAUGCAUAGUAUUAGCGCUAAUCCAACAACUUUCAUCAAAUUUUAGAUGAUUUCAUGAAGGCUAACGAAGUUGUACACAAUGUUAAGAAAAGUGGGCACAUAGUUUGGUUAUGAAAGUGGACUUUCAUAUAAGACUUUUAAUUGAGUGGUACAGGAGUACCUAGGGAAAGUGAUGUCAUAUAUGGGUUUUUAGAGGAGGUGGACUUCUCUAAUACAUCAAUGCAUUACGAGAUCUAAAUUAGCUAUUUUUAACAUCGUCAGAAAAUUAAUAAAUACAAAUGAAAAUAUUGAUAAAAAUAUUCCGUCGAUAAAUUGCAGUAAAUUUUACCGAUGAAAAUAUUUCAUCGGUAUAUACUGAAGGAAUUACAGUGGGCAAAAAAAAAAAAACAAAGUCAAAAAAUACGAUGACAUGUCAUUUAUAUCAACAAAAUUACCAACGGAAUAAAUUUCAUUGGUAAAAUCAUUGAUAAACUAUUAACAUUGUUCAUCAUGUCAAGUACAAAAGGAAUUGCCAACGGAAAAUUAUGUUGAUAUUUACUAGAGAGCUCUAGAACUGUUUACUUUCCAUUUGCGUUGUUAAUUAAUAUUCUUUACAAAUAAAAUCACCGACGGAUUGAAAAGUCGUCGGUGUUAUUUGGUGGGUUUCUAAUUUUUUUUGAUUAAAUUGAAAAUUUAAAUUAAAUAUUAUAGACGGAAUCAUCGACGAAUUGAAAAGUUGUCGGUGAUAUUUGGUGGUUUUUGAAAAAUUUUUAUUAAAUUGAAAAUUUAAAUUAAAUAUUAUAGAUGGAAUCACCAACGAAAUGAUUAAAAAUAUUAAAAUUUAAUUAUCCAUCGGUAAAACUGUCAGUAAAACACCCGAAUAAAAAGCCGAAAUCUCUAAUUUCACAACAAAGAGACCUCAUUUCUUCUUCUUCUUCUUCUUCUUCUUCUUCUUCUUCUUCCCCAUAAGUAAAAAAAUGACCAUCCCUUUCUUUCUCUUCUCUUCUCUUCUCUCCUUAACUCCUCUUCUCCUUCAUACUCAGGUAUGUCUUCUUCUCCUUUCUUCUUUUCUCUUCUCAAUUUUUUCUAAUUAAUAUACUUCUUCUCCUUCAUAUGAAAUCAAUUUUUAGUUCACUUAUUUUUAGAAAUCGCAACUUUAUUUUUUUCAUAUGAUUGUUUAUAGUUGAAUUUAUUUUUUGUGUUAUUUAUUUGUUGUAAAUUUAUUUGAGUUGAUUUUCUUCUUUUGUUUUUCCUAGUAACUCAAUUUUGAGUAUUAUUAAGUGUUGAUUUAUAUUAAUUUAAUUAUUUAAUAGUUUUGUAAAAUAGAUUUUUUAAAAAUAUUUUUAAAUAAUCACCGAUGGAAUUACAUAUGGUAUUUUUCUAAGGAAAAUAUCGACGUAAUGAAGCGGGUAAUUUUUUUCACGCUUUUUUUGUUAGUAAAUCCAUCGGUAAUAAUAUUUUUUAUUAUCAACGGAUAAAAAAUUACAGAUAAAAGAUUCAUCGAUGGAGCAUUUUCAUCUGUGAUUCCAUCGAUAAAUUAAUUACUAAUAGAAUGAUAGUACAAAUACCGAUAAAAAAUUCCAUCGGUAAAUAUAAAGAUUAUGAUAGUGUAUUAAAGGUUCACCAAGCGCGGAGUUUAGAGUAGAACGUGACUAUGUCAAGGCAAUAAUCACUAUUGCCUUUUCUUUUUGACAUAUAUAUGAAGGGGUUAUCAGUUCUAUUUAAAAGAGCUUCCACUUCUGGAUUAUUUAAAGGAAUCCAUUAUGGAAAUGGGAUGUAUAUGAGUUAUUUGCAUAUGAUAUCUUAGUGUUUAUUCCUAAUCAUUUCAUUUUGAUAAUUAAUGCUAAAAGAAUUUUGAGGUGGUUUGAAUUGAGAUCUGAAGGUUAAUUUUUGUAAAAAUUCACUAGCUGACAUUAACCUAGAUGAUGAAUUUACAGUAGGAAUAACAAAUGUGAUAAAUAGCAUCCGCACAAGACUAGUUUCAUGGAAAGGUAAGUUCUAGCGAAAUGCAUUCACGAUGUUAUCAUAUGGAAUUUUGUGGGGGUAUUUGGACUGCAAGAAACAAGCUUAUUUUUAAAGAUAAAAAGCUUGAUUGAAAUACAUUGUUUCAACUCAUACUCCAUCGUCUUGCACUUUCAUUUGAAUUAAGUUGUGCAGCGCCAAUAUUAUCACAAUAAAUCAAAGGCACUUGUUUAACUGAAUAUUGAAGUUCAUUUAAUAAUGGACAUACCCAGCUAAUUUCUAAACCAGUGUCAGCAUUGACGAUAUUCAGCCUCCGUUGAUGAUCUAGCAAUGGUUUGUUGUUUCUUGGAUGACCAUGAGACAGGAUUCUGACCAAGGUAUAGAAUGUAGGCACUAGUGGAGGAGAAGUCAUCCUUGUUUCCCCCCCAAUCUGCAUCUAAAAAUGCAUGCAAGUGAGCAGGUGAUUGAUGAUACAGAAGAAGACCUACGUUACUGGUGCCUGAAAGAUAACGUAGGAGGCGUUUGACAAGUUUCCAAUGUUCUUCAGUCGGGUUGUGCAUGAACUGUGACAACUUGUUCACAACGAAAGAUACAUCUGGUCGGGUGAGUGAAAAAUAUUGAAGACUUCCAACUGUGGCAUGACAUUCUGAAGGAUCUAAGAGCAACUUACCCAUUGCAAGAGUGGGAGGAGGACCUGGUGGCAGUGGAGUAGCCAUAGGCCGUGAGUUGCUCAUGUUGGUAUGAUGCAAGAGAUCUUGAAUAUAUUUGUACUGAGAAAGCACCAACCUGCAAGGAUGUGAUUAUAUUUCUACACCAAGGAAAUAAGUCAGAGAACCCAAAUCUUUUAGGGAGAACCGCUUGGCUAAAUUUUGAACAAGUAGAUCGACUGCAUGCUCAUCAUCACCGGUGAUGAUAAUGUUGUCUACAUAUACCAAUAAAUAUAGAAGAUGUCCAUGAUGUUUAAGAAUGAAUAAGGACGUAUCAUUCACUGAAUUUGUGAAGCUGCUAGCAAUCAGAAUGGAGUGAAGCUCAUGGUACCACACACGUGGUGCUUGCUUUAGGCCAUAAAUGGCUCUACGCAGUUUGCAAAUGAAAUUUGGUCAUUCUUUAUCUACAAAGACAGGAGGUUGAACUAUGUAUACAUCUUCCUAUAGAUGUCCCUGCAGAAAAGCAUUGUUGACAUCCAAUUAUCACAGCUUCCACCCAUUACUAACUGCAAUGGACAUGACAAGAUGAACUAUGGUUGGCUUGACAACUGGAAUGAAGGUUUUGGUAUAGUCAAGCCCUGGUCGCUGGUGAAAGCCUUUGGCCACCAAGCAUGCUUUAUAACAAGAAACACUGCCAUCUGAAUUGCGCUUCACCCUGAAAAUCCAUUUAUAAUCGACUAAGUUAGAGGCAUAUUGAGGAGAAACCAAAUCCCAGGUUUGAUUUUGGAUGAGAGCAUUAAACUCAUCCUGCAUGGCAUGACGCUAUUGGGCAUCCUUUAAAACAUUGGCAGCAGAUGUGGGCUCCUGAAUAUCAGUUGUGGGAAGAUGUGAAAGGAAGGUGAGUUUGCGGAUAGGUUUGUAGAUAUUGUUUUUGGAUCCAGUUGUCAUGGGAUGAGAAGAGGCAACAGGUUGAGCUGGGGGUGGAUGAGUGAUCAGUGGGGAUGUUGAGGUGGGCAGAACAGUGGAAGGUUGUGUCAGUUGUAUGGCGGAAGGGCUACUGGUGGCCGUUGUAAUGGAGCUGCUGACAGGGUGUGUGGCAGAGGGUGGAACUGCAGGUGGUAUGAACGGAUGAGAUUGAGGCGCAGGUGCCACAAUAGAAAGAAUAGGAGGUGUCAAUGCAUGCAGAGAUGAAGAGUUUGACACAUAUUGUGAUUGUAGUAAAUUAGGAUAUGGAAAAAUGGACUCAACAAAUCGAACAUGACAAGAAGAAAAAAAUUUUGAAGACUGUGGAUCAAAGCAAAUGUAAGCACUUUGAGAUAAGGAGUAUCCAAGAAAUAUGAAUGGUUUGGACCAGACAUCUAGUUUAUGAGCUGAAUAUGGAUGUAGCCAUGGAUAACACAAACACCCGAAAAUUCACAGUUUAGCAUAGUUCGGAGAUUUUUGAAAAAUAAGGUCAAAAGGAGAAAAAUAGUUUAAAGAAGGUGAUGACAUCCGAUUAAUUAAAUAAAUGGCAGUGGAAAACGCAAAUGACCAAAAGUUUUGAGGUAAUGAAGCAUGAGUUAGAAGUGAAAGACCUGUUUCUACUAUGUGUCUGUGUUUUUGUUCAGAGAUACCAUUAUGUUCAAGUGUGUGUGGUGGGGAAGUAUGAUGAGAAAUGCCAUGUGUUUGAAAAAAAUCUUUGAGAGCUGUAAAUUCACCGCCAUUAUCGGAAUAGAAAGUGAUUAUUUUAUGCUUGAAAUAAUUUUCAACAAUGACUUUAAAGCGUAUGAAAGUAGACUUGACAUCUGAUUUGUGUUGCAAAGGAUAAAACCAUGUAUAACGUGUAAAAUGACCCACAAAGACAAUAUAAUAUUUAAAGCAAUCAAUUGAGUGCAUAGGAGCAGUCCAUACAUUAGAGAAAAUUAUUUCAAGAGGAGCAUGAGACUCUAAAGUGGAAGCUGAGAAUGGAAGUUUAUGACUUUUGUUACAUUGACAUGCAUUGCAGGAAAUCUGUUUGGUCAUGGAACAAGUGUUUAACUUGUUUUUAGAAAGAAUAACAUUAAGAAUAGGCAACGAUGGGUGACCUAAUCUAAAAUGCCAAUUUAUUGGUGCAGUUUUGGAAAUAGAAAAUGCGGUUGGAGAAGGGGACAUUGGAUUGAACCCCGGCCAUUCAUAAAUGCCACCUUUGCUCUCACCCUGAGCGCGAACCAAUGUUUAAGAGUUGGAGGCAGGAUUAAGAGUGUUUAAGGUGUCAGUGAUGAUAUAUUGUGGUGGACAAGGUUUGGUUCCAUCAACAAAACCUUGGAGAUCAUAACCUAUAAAAAGUGUUUGGAAUUGCAGCUUCCAUGACAAAUAAUUUGAGCUGGUGAGCUUGAGAGGAGCCUGUGCCGUGACAUUAAUGGUCACCAGGUUGGGCAGGCUGGAGUGAUAUUAGUUUGUGUUGUUGGGAUCAGUCAUGAUGAGAAGGAUGAGAAAGAAAAAAAUAUUAAAGAUGCUCUGUUACCAUAUAAAGAGUUAAUAUGCCUUGCAAUAUAUCUUCUUAUUAAUUCAAUGACGAUAUAUAUACAACCAUGAAGAAUGAAUAAGAUAAGCUUUCCUAACAACCUAGUAAUAGAGAAUUAAUUUAAAUUCAAAAUACUGGAAUUCUAUUAGCAUUUGUAUUACUGAAGACUAGUACAUAAUCCUAACUAUACAUGAUUCCUGAAGACCAGCACUGUAAAGUCGUAUGUUGCUGGCUGACAUUAAGCUCUUAAUUAAUGAGAGGAAAAUGUAGGGUUGGAAAAAAGUUUGGAAGUGAUAAUCAGUACAUACCAAGCCAAAUAAGAUUGUCUCAUGUAGUAACAGACACAUGGUACUAAAUAGGAUUGUGUCCGGUGUAGUAAUAAAGUUUCUACCUUCUAUGGUAUAUAAAAUGUCUGACCACUUCAACAACAUGUCACGUAAAGAGUACAUUGAUGUCAUUAUCCUAGAAAUUUUUGCCAAACUUUAUUUAUUUUGCUAAACUUUAUAUACUAAAUUAUAAUCAACUCCUAGAUAUUUUACACGUAAAAUUAGAGACCUCGUCCACUUUGUGCCUCUAUAAAUAGCUUAACCUCGACCUUAUCUCCACACAUCACAAGAAAUUCCUUUCUCUCUUUGCAUAUCAAUAUCAAAACUCCCUUCAGGAGUAGCGAAAAUGAGAAGCAAUAUUCUACUUACCAUUAUCUUAGCCAUAGUUCUUGCAGGAGCCCUGCCCAAGAAUGUGGUAGAGGCUCAAAAUUGUGGCUGUGCUGCAAACCUUUGUUGCAGUCAAUAUGGCUACUGUGGCACUGGCAAUGCCUAUUGUGGUCAGGGAUGUAAACAAGGGCCCUGUUAUUCAUCGCCUACGCCUACUACCCCUAGUGGGAGUGGUUCUGUUGCUGAUAUUGUUACGCCUGCUUUCUUC